AGCAGAACCAUGAAUCAGAGACACCCAAUGCCCUAAGCACCACAACGCCUCCUCAGUCAUUUCUUAUUAAAAUAAAAUAGAAGGAGGUCUGCCAAGGAAAAGGACGCAGGCACAGGCAGCCCAAUGGAAACACAGGAACAUCCACCGUCACUGGGGGAGGAAGGCCAGUCCUGCCUGCAGCCCUGCUCAGAGAGGAAGCAGCUGAAAGUAAACGUCUUAAACACCACCAAAGGGGACGCUGACAACUUGACUUUUCUGCCAGGUGCCUGCCUAUAUGAAGAACCCUGAAAAGCUACUGUCCAUUGUGCUUCAGUUCUAGUUGCCAUCUGAAGCUAAGUCUGAAGCAAUACGUUGUUAAGGUCUUCAUGCCAAACAGUGCCAUGGGGAUGCCUUUGCCAGCACCAUGAGAAUUCAAGCGAACUCAGUGUCCCCGUUUGAGCUGAAAAUGGCCAUGACAAACAACUGGAGGGUGCUGAUAGCAUAUUAUCCUCCAUGAAUUCUCCACAAUAUCCUUGCACUGCUCAUUUAAAAGAAGAAAAACAUUUCCUGCCUGGAUACAUUACAGCAGAGGGCAAAUGUUCUGGAAUGACCCAAGACAAAGGCAGAGUUUUUGUUUUGUUUUCUUUUGUCCUAAUGAGACUCGGAGAAUAAUAAUGGUUCAGGAUACCAACAAAUAGCCGAGUUGGGCUUUUGCUCUACUUCUCAGAAGGAAGAAAAACAACCUCCUUGGACUGCAGACAUUUUUUCCUUAUACUUGUCUUAUAUCUCAAUCAGGAAAUCUGCUAAUAAUGGCAGGCUGGUAUUGCUUGUGUUAGACUGUACGUUAAAAGGCUUUCAAGUAUUCAUAUUUCUUCCUUAUUUAAGGGUGAUACAGAUGCUUUUGCUCAAGAUGUUUCUCUUCCAUAGCUGUAGCUGUAGCAACAAUGACAAUGACUGUUAGUAGCCAGGCAUAGAACUGACUUAUUCAUCAGCACGGAAACAAAACAAUAAAUGGGAAAAUAUCCCUUAUACUCAGAAUCUUGUUUCUAAUACUUUUAAAUAAUUUCACAGAAGAAAUUAACAUUUGAAGAUGUACUAUUUAUUCAACUAAAGUAUUUUAAAAUAUCUUGAAUAACAUUAAGUCAUUAAAGUCAGAAUCAGAGAAUGACAAGAUUUGGAGAAUCUGAUGCAUUUUCCCAUCAGAAGCAAGAUAACUGGAUUUGAACUUUGACUACUGUUUUCAUUACUUUUGUUCAUCUGGCUUGCAGAGAACCCUUAACACCACUGUUUAGUGCAAUAGGAUCCAGGGCCAAGGUUUUGAUUGCAUUUAAAAAUAAUUUCUUGUGUAACAGAAGAAUAUAUACAAAAAUAUUCAACUCCUGCUUCUGAGCCCAACCUUCCAUAAGGUAUAAUAUCCACACUCACAAGAAGUUUCCACUUUCCUCAGCUCUUACUUCAAAGGAGAAAUAAAAGCAAGAGGCACAUGUGGAUGAUUCUGCUUUCACAUCACUGAAAAUCAGGCCUAGAUCCAGAAAGAUCAAGUGAGCUGUACCAGCACAACGUUACCAUUAGCAGGAACACAAGUGAUAUACAAUACUGCUGUAACUGUUAGCAGAGUUCUGCCUUCUUGUGUAUUUGUUCUUGUCAUUUUGACUGUCUGCCUAGAACCUUUUCACAUGCUGAAUUUUAUAAUUAUGCUAGCCCCUGUUUAUUUCUUUUUCCCUGGUGACACCCACUCUCAGAAUUUUCUUUGAAGUUCUCCUGAUAAGGUUAGGAAAUCCUGGUAGAUCAUGAACUUUGAACAGGGUUUUAAUGCUGAAAGAAAACUAACAUCAGAUCCUUCUUUAGGCCAAGUUUGCAAUCUUUGCUAUAUAAAUCUCCGGAUUACUUCAUUUUAAAAGUCUUGGUAAACCAAUUUGAAGUCUAACAGUAAUUUUUAUUUCUCUUUUAAACUCUCUGCUUAUAUUGUCAGGAGUCUCUUGGCUCCUCGCCUUUUUUUAGCACAGAGAGCACUUAGCAAAGUACUUAUUAUUAGCAACAGUUAAUAUAUGGUAACUGGAUGCUUGGGUAUGCCCCCUCCUUCUUAUAAAUGGAAUUGGUAACAUGCAGCAUUAUCUCUUUCCUCAAGCCUUUUUGCAUCAUCACAUCUCUAAUAUAUUUGACUAUGAAUACACCUGAAUAUGUAAACUUGUUAAUAUACACUAUAAUAAUGGAUUAAGACUCAUAUCACAGAACUAUCACAAAGUUAUGGUGUGUGGUCAAGUCAGUUCCUCUGGAUACUUCUGUAAUUAAAGGAGAGAAACCAUUACUUCUAAACAUCACUUGGUCUUUCCAAGUUCAGAUCAGUGAACUGAAUUGUCUUGCCUUGCAGUUAGAGCAUGGAAUAGAUGUCAGCUUUCAAGUGGAGUGUCUAAAUGAGGUGAAUAUGAAUUCUGACCACAGGAGAUGACGUCCCUAAGCUCACGGUGAAUGGAAAAGGAUAAGACAAGGAAUAGUGUUUCAAGUUGAGAGAUGAUAAAUUUCACUCCAGACUCUUAUCAUAUUGUUUGAAAAUGUUAACAUAUAAGACUAAGGGCAGCAGAAGUUUCAUUAAAGCAUCUUUUCCCAAUGUGGACACACAAGAUUCUGAAUCUAUUGUGAACAGGAAAAGUCACUUGUAUAGGUAUAAUGACCAAUAUUCAAGUGAAGGUGAAGCACAAGAAAACUUCUCAAAAGAUCAGAAGUGCUAAAAAAUUUACACAGAAGGUAAGUUAGACUGGUAUAAUGGGUUUGGCAAGGCAACGAAGAGGGGAUACUUUUUCCUUUUUACAAAUACAAUGCAGAAAAAGAAAACACACAAGGAAGAUUUAAAUGAAAGCACAGCACUGAUAGAAGACUAGAUGGGAACACAGGAUGCAAGAUACAGGAUGGUUGUCAGAAUGAAGCAGUGCAGCAAUGUGUCUUUCUGGAUGAGUGAUUAACUCUUGGCUUUAUGUGUGACCCCAGGAGAGAGGCUGAGAGCCCUCCAUUCAACAGAAAUGGAGAGUGCCAGGUCUUUUGAAAGAGGUAUAGCAGAUGCCUCCAUUUACAUAGGACUCAAGCCCCUCUCUGGUGCUGACACAACGCAUAUCACUGCUGAAAACAGAUUGCCUACAAUAGUUAAAGGGGUGAAAAAAAGAAAAUACUGCUUGUCCUUCUCCACUCUAUGCUUACUUCUUUUAAAUUGAACAUUUUGCUAACUGCUUCCAUGUGUCAUAUUAAUACAUGAACAAAUGUCUAGAAAAGUACCUAAAAAAUAUUAACAGUUAUUUUACUUUUCAAUUUAAAUCCAUUAUCACUCUUCCAAGAUAGGAAAAGACACUUUCACAACAACCUUCUGCUCAAACUACUGUUAGGAAGGUUAUAACCCCUUGAAAAAGAUGUGUGAAACUGAAAAUACUGGCAACCAUUUCAGCAGAAGAUCCCCACUCUACACUGCUAUAAGAAGGAUUUGGAAAGAAUGAUACUUAUGACAUCAGCUAUCACUUUCUUCAAGAACUUAAAAUUUUUUCUAAAAAGUUUUUUAUCAUCUUACCAAUGCUGUAAAAAAUGUUGUUGCAUCCCUAAAUGUGAGCCAGAUUAGGCAGUCAAAAAGGAAUUAAAUUAUCCUUACUUUAAACAGAACUUGCUGGUGCAAGUAAGGACAUUUUGGACAUAGCCAGUGCUGUAGAAUCUGACCGAAUAUUAAUAGACACUAGUGAAAUGGUCUCCAGUUACAGCCGUAUGUUCAGUUUAGAAUAAUCUGUGUUAAUGAAGAAUGGUUUGAAGUACACAAAUGCUGUGGAGAAAUGCUACACCAGUACCCCAUUACCAAAACUGCAUUUGGUACCAGUAGAUAUUUUGUCCUUCAAGUGACCACUGAAGGGGAAGACAACUUAGAGAGAAUUACAAAUUUUUGUGCCAAAAGGAAAAGACAUUUUGAUACAGAAUUCCAUCCAGCCAAAAAUAUUUGCUUGCUAAAGGCUGUAGGUCUAAAUAAAGAUAUUCCUGUAAGGGAGCAGGAGUCAAAAAGUUGCAGAUAAAGAAAUACACACAGGUGAAUGCUAAGGCACAGGACACAGGCAGUGUGUAUGGAUCAGAGUGGACAUUAGAUACAAAAGCAAAACUAAGCUUUUGAAGUACAGGUAUUGUUGCAACACUAGAUUUUUCUGGCUGUGCUCAAAAGCUUACAUCUCCAGUUUCCUUUUACUAGGCCUCAGCAGAGUGGGGCACCUGAGAAUUGAACACCAAACCAUGUGUACUCCAUCACUGACAGCUGCCGAGAGCAAGUCAGAUGGCACAGGCUGAGCUUUGGUACCUGCUUUCCCCAAGAUUUUGGUUGAUGCCCAAAGAAGAGUGAGUCACUUUAUGCAAACAUUGGGUAAAAUAUAGAAACUGCCCUGCAGCCUGCUAACUCUUAAGUGUCAUGCUCCCUCUCUCUCUCUUUCUGGCCCAGUGAGUGUUGGAUUCCUCAUUGCAUAAGGCUGCUUCUUUAACAAAAGCCAGAUGAUUAAGAAAUUCUUCAAGGACAUCUGAAAGCAGACUUCCCACAAACUGGGCAAUUCUAUUAGGAUGAAGUAACUAGUUGAGAACUAGGGCAGGAUAAAUCUUACCCUAAAUGUCCAUGAAAGUACAAACCAUGACUUAAAUUCAGAACUGGACAUAAUAGUCCUGACACAGAACUAGCUUGUGUCCAUUCUUCUGAAGCUCAGAGAUAACUAGAUUUGAAAUGCUUUAAAUUAGCUUCUGGUUUGUUUGUUUUUAUGAACCAUGACCUCAACUCAGGGAUCAGGAAAAGUAACAGCACAGCACUUUGAGCCUGCUCACGCUCAUUCACCACAGGAACAGGUCAAUAUUUUGUUCUUUUUAUAACACACUUUUUAUAUCAUGUCUUUUUGUAUCUGGAGCCCAGAAACAGAGAUACUACUUCAGACCAUGGAGUACGUAUUGCCAUUGAAUAACUUGCAUCCACAGAAAGGCCAAAGAGCAAACAAACAACAGACCCUCAGAGCCAGCUUGGCCUCAGUGCUGGGGGCCAACCUGCUGAAAAGCAGUGGAUCUGAGAAGGACCUGGGGCUGUCCAGGAGCCAGCAGCGUGCCCUUGUGACCAAGAAGGCCAACAGAACCUUGAGUGUGUUAGGAAAACCAUUGCCAGCAGGACAAGGAGGUGAUCCUGCCCCUAUACUCAGCCCUGGUGAGGUCACCUCUAGUGUGUCCAGUUCUGGGCUCUCCAGUACAAAAGAGACAUGGAGCCCCUGGAGCAGGUCCAGGAGAGGGCAACAAGGAUAAUUAAGGGACUGGAACAUCUCCCUUGUGAGUGGAGUCUCCCCCACUCGAGAUAUUCAAGAACUUCCUGGACACAAUCUUGUGUCAUGUGCUCUAGCAUGACCCUGACUGAGCAAGGAAUUUGGACAAGAUGCCCCACUUCCACCUGACCCAUUCUGUGACUCUGGAAUCUUUCUACAGGCUACCAGUGAACCCUGGGUGUAUUUUCCCUGGGCAGGAUGAACUCACUACCUCAGGAAGGUGUUCUCACAGCCACAUGAGGGGCCUUGAGCACCAGAUGCAGAAGGGCUGCCCCUUCUCCCUUGGGUAUGUCCAAGUUGCAAUCCAAAUUUGUUUCUUAUCAUAUCUGUCAUGCAUAUGAUGACUCCAAAGACAAGUGUAUGCUUGAGAAUUUCCACAUCCUCAUGAGCCUCAGGAAGUUAAGUCCCUUAGAACUCAGUACAGCUGUAUUUUGGACAUCCAGAAGUUUCCCAUAGGCCCCAGUCAGGACUGAACUGACAAUGAUGUUUUCUACCAAGACAAGUACUUCCUUUAACAGUGGGUAGGUAACCUGGAAGCUUUCAAUCAUGGGAAACAACUCUAAGUUGUAAAGCUGUAAGUAUCCCCAGAAAUUUGCUUAGAAAAAGGAACCUGAGGAUACAAAAAAUUUCUUUUUUUAGUCUUCAAGUACCAUAACAUAUGGCUUGCAAUAUUUAAUCUCACUUUUCCCAGCAAAGUACUUUUAUAAAUCUUUUUAUAUAUAUUUUAUCCGUCUGCUAGCUUCUGCACUUUCUGUCUCACUAAAUCCCCCUUCCUCCUAUUAAAAUGAAUUUUUAAAAAAUUCUGUUCUGUGCUAUUGACCCAUCUCAUGGUAGGACACUUCUGUGAUGUGGAAAGCAUUACACCCUGUUGGUUUUGUGGUGAUAUCUGGCUCUCAUGGAGAUGCGGUUUCUACCCACUCAUCUUUCUUUGGACUGAUGUAUGCAUGUUGAAGGACAAUAUUACAGAAAAAUAUUAUAACAUCCUGGACAAACUGCAGCUAGAAGCUUUAAAAAUCCUAUUAAGGAUGUAUGGCCUAACAUUGUUCCUGUGGUUCACACUUUCUUAGAUGAAACUUCUGAGAAAAUCCAACACUAUAUGGAUCACAAUUUUCUGUGGCCUACCCCUAUCCUGCAUUAAGCAAACUAACAAAAAGCACCUAGAGCUGCCUUGAGAACUGGGGUUGAAGAAGAACGCAAAUUUUUUUGAUAGAAAAUUUGGUGGCAAAUUAAUAAAAAUAUUAAUUAAAAUAUUCCAUACUACACUGAAGACAGAAGAGGUAACAUAAUACCAACAUGCUAAGGGGCUUCUUGCUCUUGUUUCCCUCUUUAGGCAGACUUCUCUGGUUAAACACAUUUUCCAGGGCACAACACAGCCUCCUUACCAGGAGAGGAGUUCUGUUUCAUUACAACAGCCAGAGGUCAACACAGGAGAGUGCCUUUUCAUCAGGAAAUUUGAACGCAAACUUUCAAGUAUACUUCUGCCCCAAAACUAAUUUGUUCUGACUACAGGCAUUCUACUUUCCCAUAGCUAGCAAUAUAUAGAAUAACAGAUAAAUAGACAGCCAUGUAGACAGGCAGACAGACAGAUUUUUUACCAAAGCAAGCAUCUUCUCAUGUACAGUUUUCAAAGACCUAUUAGAAAGACUGAUUCUGACAGAAUAACCAAACAUUGAAAGCGGUAGCAAUUAGAAGUCAAAUUGCAAUGUACAGAUUCAUAACCCACCUACAGUUCUGUGGUUCUGGCCACAUCUGUGUCUUUAUGAUGAAAUUAGGAAAUGCACUGUAAGCCCAAGUCAUGGUCCCGCAAGGCUAGGAGAAAGCUGGAUGUUAUUUUCCACAGAAGUAGCAGACAUGCCUGAAUUCACAGUCCUCAAUUUGACAUGGAAACGUCUUGCUAUGGAAAAGUUUUUCUGAUCCACAGUAACAAUAAAACAAAUGGUGUGCCAAAUACCGUUCUCCUUGGCUAACUACACUGAUAGUUGGGUCCUCUUGUCACAUUUUCACAGGACAUGUUUGAACACUAUAUUAUGCUGCUACCAUGUCUUUACAGUUUCUAGAUCAGAAAUGGAUGGACAGCUUGGAAGAGAGAAACAAGUAGUCAUUUAACCUGUACCCAUUUAGAAAGUGAAGUUCUUGGAAGAUUCAGCUUCUCAUUCCUGGAUGUCUUAUGCAUCUGAAGUGAUGUAGAAUCAAUUUCAUGGAAAGAAAAGAUAAUUUUGCUUCAGAGCUCACACUCUCAGUUAAUGGGAAUAAAUCUUUUUUUUUUUUUUUUUUCUUGUCUCUUUAAUUCUUAUUUUGAAAAUGUAAUUAUUGUCUGGGAAAUCUGACUCCCGUUAGCCACCUGCCAAGUUCUGACUCACAUCUGUGUACAAGAUGUUCCCAGCUCUUGUGCAUGUAUUUUUAUGUAUUUGUAAAUAGUAUCAUAUGGGCUACUUUCUAAAUGCACAGAAAGAAAAGGAAAAGGACCCCUAGCAUAACCAAAGGGUCAGGUUCUGGGAGUUCUUCCCCCCUUACUUGCUUCUGUUUGCAUCUUUCUGCUUUUGAUGUCUUUUGACAGAACUGUUCCAUAUGGUUCAGAACCAAUCACAGAGACAAGCAUCACUAAGAUAUGGCAAAUCUCCAGUCCCUGUUUUUGAUAAGAUGCUGAUGAAUUAGUCUACAGAGAAUAUAUGGUGUCUUGACAACAAGCUGGCUGAAAUGGUUUAUUUCCCACUCCUGAAUUACAAGGUUGGAGCAUUUCUCUAGUGAUUCAAAUGUAGUAACAGUCAUGGUAUGAGUCUUGCAUUGAUACCAUUUUCCAGCACACUCAAUGACAUUUGGGCACUCCCGAAAUUAAUUUGGGCUCUUUCACAUAUGUGUGUUCACGUGUGUGUGUGUGUGUGUGUGUGUGUGUACAUACUGACUGAGAACCAGGAAGAAAGAGAGACUUGCUGGUUUACGAUGUGUAUGGUUCCUGAAAAGGCUUUACUCCUAAUAAACACGAAGUAUCACUUUUAAUCAAUCACCUAGACUGGCAUUGCACUCAAAUUUGGUUCAAUUUCCCAUUAAGACUUAAUGUUGGAGGGAUACUCUAAGGCAAAGAGGAGCACUGAAGGCAGAGGAGCAGUGUCAGGUGCAGAUGGAGCAGGUCAGUCAUUGCACCCAGAACCUUGACAACUACAUCAGUGGUUAACAGUCAAGCAAUUGCUCUUUAACUCUGUACUAGUGCAUCAGUAAUUUAUGCAGACUAGGAAAGAAAUUCCUGUAGGAGUUGCAAUUUGUUUCCUGUUAGUUUGUUGCUGACAUCCUGUUGGCUGUUCUUGCAGUAUAGCACUCAAGGAAACCUGAAGUCACACUGUCAAGACUUGCAGCCUUUAUUCUGGUGAGCUGCAAAAGACCCUGGAAUUUUUGUAAGCUGGAAAUAGCUGGAAACUUGCAUUAAGACAAGUCUGGGACAGCCCCCCCGAUCUCCCUGAAGUGAAUACGUACCCAUCUGGUUGUUCAUCAUCAUCUGUUGAAAAAGCAAUUACUAUGUAAAUAAGACUGCCCUUGGUCCUCAAUAUCCCUCUUCAAAAUGGUACAGAGCAACAGGAUGAACCCAAGUGCUGCUGAAAAAAAGACCAAAGUCCCCACAGCUAAAUUCUAAUAAGUCCUGUAGGUCUGAUGUUUUGGGGUGACUCAAAGGAGAUUUCUUCAGAGUAAAGUAUGGUAGAAGAGAUGGAGUAUACUCUGGUAGAUAGGUUUGCUCACAAGGAGAAGUAGAUGCACCAAUCUCCCUGGCAUUCUUCCUUGUCCUGUGGCCAACUGUGGCUUGAGGAAAAGUACAAAGACAAGAAUGAUGCAUUCAUCUGGGAGAAAUGGCUUCUGUUUCCUUGCUAUAGAUCAGCAUUGCCUAACUUUCUCAGUGAGUAUUUGGUUUUGAAAUUCAGACUUCUAAAUGAUUUAAAGGAUGGAAUGCUGAAAGCACAAAAGAAUGGAAAAAUCAGAGAAAACAAAUUCUGGUGUCUCUUGAAGAGCAACUUGAGACUCUGGCUGUUACUUCAUCCACUGAUUCCAUUUGGCAGAAGUCAACCAUAUAAUAUCUCCACAGCACACACAGCUGCUUCAAAGUACCUUCAAGUUGCUCUCAUGCUGUGUUUCUACAGAGUGCAGAAUGUAUUCUUUGCUCUCUUCUAUCCUGAUUACCUUCAACCAUAGCUAUAUCUCUUCAGGAGAGGAACAGAAAAUACUCAAAAGCCAUCCUGCCAACAAACAAAACUAAUUUCCAUUAAGUAAAGAUUAAUAUAUGGACUUUGCUUCCACAAAACAAAACAACUUUGUUUAGGCAGCUCUAUCUGAAAGGAGUGUAUGCUAGGACUAGGCAAGAAAAAAAGUUAAAUUUGAAAUUUCCCACAGUAAAUAAUGUCAGAAGUACAAAGCUCCAAUGAGGGAGGUUUGUGAGACUGACAAACAUUAUCAACAGAGACAAUGAUGCCUGCAACUAUGUAUCCUUAUAAAGACAGAAAUAGUAUUAUUUGUUGGGGUUUUCCUAGAUUCCUGAGUAUGACUGACAUGACCUCAGGGAACUGCUC